rnacentral:rRNA from 1 species
UGGARARRGUUGAUCCUGGCUCAGAUUGAACGCUGGCGGCAGGCCUAACACAUGCAAGUCGAACGGUAACARGAAGCAGCUUGCUGCUUYGCUGACGAGUGGCGGACGGGUGAGUAAUGUYUGGGAAACUGCCUGAUGGAGGGGGAUAACUACUGGAAACGGUGGCUAAUACCGCAUAACGUCGCAAGACCAAAGAGGGGGACCUUCGGGCCUCUUGCCAUCAGAUGUGCCCAGAUGGGAUUAGCUWGUUGGUGAGGUAACGGCUCACCAAGGCGACGAUCCCUAGCUGGUCUGAGAGGAUGACCAGCCACACUGGAACUGAGACACGGUCCAGACUCCUACSSSASSCMGCAGUGGGGAAUAUUGCACAAUGGGCGCAAGCCUGAUGCAGCCAUGCCGCGUGUAUGAAGAAGGCCUUCGGGUUGUAAAGUACUUUCAGCGGGGAGGAAGGUGUUGKGUUAAUAACCRCAGCAAU